UACGUAGGGGGCAAGCGUUGUCCGGAAUCAUUGGGCGUAAAGCGAGCGUAGGCGGCCCGAUAAGUCUGCUGUGAAAGUCAACGGCUCAACCGUUGAAAGCCGGUGGAUACUGUCGGGCUAGAGUCCGGAAGGGGCGAGUGGAAUUCCUGGUGUAGCGGUGAAAUGCGCAGAUAUCAGGAGGAACACCAAUGGCGAAGGCAGCUCGCUGGGACGUGACUGACGCUGAGACGCGAAAGCGUGGGGAGCAAACAGG
rnacentral:rRNA from 1 species